UACUUUGCUCAACACAAUUCAAAAACCUAAAAAUUCAUUGGUCUUCGCCGGAACCGCAUCUUCGCCGGAACCGCCAUAGCUGUGUAGCAUCACCGCAUCUUCGCCGGAACCGCCAUAGCUGUGUAGCAUCACCGCAUCUUCGCCGCAACCGCCAUAGCUGUGUAGCAUCACCGCAUCUUCGCCGGUGUUUUGUUGCCGCAACCUCGCCGGAGCCUAGCGUUGUCAUCUUCUUCAUCUUCACACUUCAACUCAGGGAGGGGGUGAUUUUUGCAAUCUCGCCGUUUUUAACGGAAACGACCUGCAAGUACGUGCGGCUGUACAGAAGUUACUUGUGAGGCGUACAUCAAAGUGGAAUGAUCUCCAAUAUGGGCAUCUUCUGCAGGCACUGACCGUAUUGUUCAAUACAAGAUAGCUAAAUAUACAUUUUACCUUCUAGUAAGUGUUUCAGUAAGUGUUAUAUAUUCCGUGUCCUUUCAAAUUGGCUAUGGUCUAUUGUAUGUCUAUCAAGUUACUUUUGUUUCUGUGUGUUGGAGUGUUAUUCAACAUGUUAGACUUAAACAUCAUCAUUAUGUUUAUAUAUUAAACAAAGGUAUAUUUAAAAUUA